rnacentral:rRNA from 1 species
GGCGCACGGGUGAGUAACACGUGGGUUACCUGCCCUUCGGUGGGGAAUAACCUUGGGAAACCGAGGCUAAUACCGCAUAUUUCCGCGAGGAGAAAGUCUUCGGACGCCGAAGGAGGGGCCCGCGGCCGAUUAGCUUGUUGGCGGGGUAAAAGCCCACCAAGGCUGCAAUCGGUAGCCGGCCUGAGAGGGCACACGGCCACACUGGCACUGAGACACGGGCCAGACUCCUACGGGAGGCAGCAGUGGGGAAUCUUGCACAAUGGGGGAAACCCUGAUGCAGCGACGCCGCGUGAGCGAUGAAGCCCUUCGGGGUGUAAAGCUCUCUCAGCGGGAACGAUUAUGACGGUACCCGCAGAAGAAGCUGCGGCUAACUACGUGCUAGCAGCCGCGGUAAUACGUAGGCAGCAAGCGUUGUUCGGAGUUACUGGGCGUAAAGAGUGUGUAGGCGGUUCUGUAAGUUCGGUGUGAAAUCUCCCGGCUCAACUGGGAGGGUGCGCCGGAAACUGCGGAGCUCGAGCGUGGGAGAGGAAAGCGGAAUUCC